rnacentral:tRNA from 1 species
GGGCCUAUGGCUUAAUGGAUAAAGCGCCGGUCUACGGAACCGGAGAUUCAGGUUCGAUCCCUGGUAGGCUCG